AAGUUUUACAGCUGUUUUAGAAUUUGUCUAGCAGGUUUUCCAGUCCUCACCAGAAGACCUCC
rnacentral:snRNA from 1 species